rnacentral:rRNA from 1 species
AUUGAACGCUGGCGGCAGGCCUAACACAUGCAAGUCGAACGGUAACAGGAAGAAGCUUGCUUCUUUGCUGACGAGUGGCGGACGGGUGAGUAAUGUCUGGGAAACUGCCUGAUGGAGGGGGAUAACUACUGGAAACGGUAGCUAAUACCGCAUAACGUCGCAAGACCAAAGAGGGGGACCUUCGGGCCUCUUGCCAUCGGAUGUGCCCAGAUGGGAUUAGCUAGUAGGUGGGGUAACGGCUCACCUAGGCGACGAUCCCUAGCUGGUCUGAGAGGAUGACCAGCCACACUGGAACUGAGACACGGUCCAGACUCCUACGGGAGGCAGCAGUGGGCAAUAUUGCACAAUGGGCGCAAGCCUGAUGCAGCCAUGCCGCGUGUAUGAAGAAGGCCUUCGGGUUGUAAAGUACUUUCAGCGGGGAGGAAGGGAGUAAAGUUAAUACCUUUGCUCAUUGACGUUACCCGCAGAAGAAGCACCGGCUAACUCCGUG